AUGGAAAUCUUCCCGUUGAUGCUUUCUCUAUUGGUGCUCGGGUCACUGGGAAAGCUAACAACUCUGGCAUCCGGAGUUGUAACAGGCCAGCAGAACCCAGAGGGGAACUGGGCGCAACCAUCCCGUGCCGGUGGCACGCUCCAUGGCUGCCCGACGAGCUGCGGCAGUGUCAGCUUCGGCUAUCCCUUUGGCAUCGGAUCCAGGUGCUCCCGUGGACCUGACUUCAACCUCAUUUGCAACAACACCAGUCAGCCCCCCAGGCUCUUCUUGUGCGACGGCAUCACCGAGGUGAUCGAAUCUGCAGAUUAUCCUCUUUUCAGUUCAAACUUUAUCUAUGCCUUCUUCUCGCAUACCAUCGCCAUGAAAUCUGGUGUCAGUGUCUACAACUUGUCUUUGAAACCGCCGGGGAGGUCCUUCCAUCUUUCUGACAUUGCUCUAAACAUCACCGGCUGCGACCUGGAUGUGUACUCUGUCAGAGAGGAUGGCGUCCAGUUCAUAUGUGGAACUGUGUGCCCGAACCCAGAAAUGACAGAGAUGGUGGCUAUGAAAAAAUGUAAUGGCUUUGGAUGCUGCCGUGUUGACGUGGAAAGCUAUGCCAGCACUUAUCAGUUCAAAUUAGACCACAACAGAAAAAACAGCAGCACGAGCUCUAAUCAGACCUCUCAGUUCUGGGAUAAAAUUAGGGUAAGUAGUGCUCAUGUCUUACAGCUCACAUGGAAAAUUCAGGAUCAACCCACCUGUGCUGCGUGUGUCAGCGAGCAUGCCGAGUGCAGCCACAGCGAUCCACAAGAUGUAUACGGUGCACCGACAACAACAAGUGGCUACUACUGCACCUGCCAUGACGGCUAUUCAGGCAACCCCUACAUUCUACAUGGCUGCUCCAGCAAUGAUAAAGGGUAUAAUCCAAUUCCGAGCAGGGCUAACUGUACCCGCUGGUGUGGUAAAAUUAAUGUGGAAUUCCCAUUCGGCCUCGAAGAGGGUUGCUUUGCCAGGGAUGAGUUUCACCUCCACUGCACAAAUAUGACAUCAUCGGCUGCCUUGUUCACGCGGGAGAAGCAACAGGUCAUUCCCUUUCAAAUAAAAAAGAAGGAACAGGUCAUUGACAUAAAUGUCAACGAAGGGACCUUCAAUGUCACCGUUGCUGCUCAUCUAAGUGUCUACAAUGGGACCUUCCGCCCCUACUCUAUUCCCCUGCCUCCAUGGCUUCAACAGGAUCAACAGAGUCAUAUUUGGGCAUAUGGGUAUUUUUUAUUUUAUAAAUUCGUGGCUGCUCAUCUAAGUUGCGCAGAGGCCCAACAGAAUAGGUCUGGAUAUGCUUGUGUGAGUACCUACAGCAAGUGUGUGGAAGUAAGCGAUGAAGCGAUGACUAGUUACCGCUGCAGAUGCUUUGAUGGCUUCCAAGGAAAUCCGUACAUCCAAAAUGGUUGUCAAGACAUUGAUGAAUGCCUUCAACCGAACAAAUGUAAAGGGAUCUGCCAUAAUACCAAUGGAAGCUUCAGUUGUACUGCCUGUCCUCACAAGACUGAGUAUGAUCCGUUAAAAAUGCAGUGUACUAAGAUAAAACAAGAGCCUCUGCUCUUAGGUAUAAUUAUUGGGCUGUCCUGUGGUUUCGGCGUUCUACUUCUGAGCUUCAGUGCAGUACUUUUCACUCGUAGGUGGAAAAAGAUUGUUCAGAAGCAACUAAGGACGAACUACUUCCGAAAGAACCAAGGUCUUCUCCUAGAAACAUUGAUAUCAUCUGAUGAAACUGCAAAUGAGAAUACAAAGAUUUUCUCGUUACAAGAGCUAGAGAAGGCAACAAACAACUUUGAUCCUACACGUAUCAUCGGACGUGGGGGGCAUGGCAUGGUUUACAAAGGCAUAUUGUCUGAUCAGCGUGUCGUUGCAGUAAAAAAGUCCAAGGUCAUUGAGCAAUCUGAGAUCAGUCAAUUCAUCAAUGAGGUUGCAGUCCUCACUCAGAUAAAGCACAGAAAUAUUGUGAAGCUCUUUGGAUGUUGUCUCGAAACUGAGGUUCCACUGCUGGUGUAUGAUUAUGUAUCCAGUGGCUCACUGUCAGAAGUUCUUCAUGCAGAUGAAAGUGAUGGUUUUUCUUUGUCUUGGGGUGAUUACUUAAGGAUUGCUCUCGAAACAGCAGGAGCUUUAUCUUAUCUCCACUCUUCAGCUUCAAUAUCAAUCUUCCACCGUGACGUGAAAUCCUCAAAUAUACUAUUGGAUGUGAACUACACGGCUAAAGUUUCAGACUUUGGCGCUUCAAGAUUGGUUCCAAUUGAUCAAACACACAUCGUUACAAAUGUGCAAGGUACAUUUGGUUACUUAGAUCCAGAGUAUUUCCGUACCAGGCAUCUGAACGGAAAGAGCGACGUCUACAGCUUUGGUGUGGUACUAGUGGAGUUGCUUCUGAAAAUGAAGCCUGUCUUUACAAGUGAAUCAGGCACAAUCAAGAGCUUGACAAACUAUUUUCUUGAGGAGUUCAAUGAGGGAAGAAUCACAGGCAUUGUUAACUCCCAGGUCCUUGAGGAAGCAACCGAGGAAGAGAUCAACAGUAUCGCCUCUCUUGCAGAACGGUGCUUGAGGCUGUGUGGUGAAGACAGACCCACAAUGAAAGAGGUGGAGACAGAGCUACAGACUCUACGAGCAAAUCGUGUGACCUUAUGUCAAGAAGAUCCAAGAAACGAAGAACAGAUGCAACCAAGGUUGCCAACUCGGCCAGGAGACAGCCAAAGGCGAUAUAGCUUGGAGAUAGAGUUCAUGUCAUCUGCUAGCCUGCCACGCUAG
rnacentral:rRNA from 1 species